CUGCCGGUGACAAACCGGAGGAAGGCGGGGAUGACGUCAAGUCAUCAUGGCCCUUACGGGUAGGGCUACACACGUGCUACAAUGGCCGAUACAGAGGGCGGCGAAGGGGCGACCUGGAGCAAAUCCUUAAAAGUCGGUCGUAGUCCGGAUUGGAGUCUGCAACUCGACUCCAUGAAGUCGGAAUCGCUAGUAAUCGCGAAUCAGCAUGUCGCGGUGAAUACGUUCCCGGGCCUUGUACACACCGCCCGUCACACCAUGGGAGUGGGUUGCACCAGAAGUAGAUAGUCUAACCUUCGGGGGGACGUUUACCACGGUGUGGUUCAUGACUGGGGUGAAGUCGUAACAAGGUAGCCGUAGGGGAACCUGCG
rnacentral:rRNA from 1 species